rnacentral:rRNA from 1 species
AUUGAACGCUGGCGGCAUGCCUUACACAUGCAAGUCGAACGGUAACGGGCCUUCGGGUGCCGACGAGUGGCGAACGGGUGAGUAAUGCAUCGGUACGUACCUUUCAGUGGGGGAUAACGUAGCGAAAGUUACGCUAAUACCGCAUAUUCUGUGAGCAGGAAAGCAGGGGAUCGCAAGACCUUGCGCUGAUUGGGCGGCCGAGGUCAGAUUAGCUAGUUGGUGAGGUAAAGGCUCACUAAGCCGACGAUCUGUAGCGGGUCUGAGAGGAUGAUCCGCAACACUGGAACUGAGAACCGGUCCAGACUCCUACGGGAGGCAGCAGUGGGGAAUUUUGGACAAGGGGGGCAACCCUGAUCCAGCCAUGCCGCGUGAGUGAAGAAGGCCUUCGGGUUGUAAAGCUCUUUCGGCCGGGAAGAAAUCGUAUCAGCUAAUACCUGGUGCGGAUGACGGUACCGGCAUAAGAAGCACCGGCUAACUACGUGCCAGCAGCCGCGGUAAGAC